CCCAUCCUGUGUGAGGAAGAGGUUGGGGUCACUCACCUCUGCAGGCCCAGUCCUGGUAGGGGUCUCAGACCCGCUCAGGGGGGCGGUCCCAUGGGGGCUCAGCUGGCCGGCACAUCAUCUGUUCCCACCUCAGGGAGCUCUGGUCCCCCAUGGAAGCUGCGGGAGGGGUCCAGCCUCCAGGAGGGCUCUCUCCCGACUCCCAGCUCCAUACUGAGGAGGGACCCGAGGCUGCAGGAAGACAGCUUCUCCGGUCCUGGGCCUGGCUGGUGGGAUGGGGUUCCCCCAGGCUGGGACGGCGCCCUCCCCAGUCUAAGCCAAGGCUCUGCCAAUCUGAGCUGAAGCUUUUUAUCUGCAGCCCAAAGCCCAGAGGGGUGAGGGGUUCCCCGACACCAAAUGCUGCCCCAGCCCCACCUUCCACGUGGGACCCUCUCUGUAGGCCCCCACUCCUUCAUUCACCCAAGACUGAUCUCAGCAGGGCUGAGCUGGGCACAGAGACAAAGGGCAGUACCGCAGUGACCCUGUGCGGUUCGUGAAGAGGGUGGGUGAGGACAGCUUUCGGUGAUGCCAUUUUUUUUUUUUUAAAGAGAGAGAGAGAGAGAGGUGGGGGGAGGGAGAGAGAGAAGGAUUUUUUUUUAAAUAUUUAUUUUUAGUUUUCGGCGGACACAACAUCUUUGUUUGUAUGUGGUGCUGAGGAUCGAACCCGGGCCGCACGCAUGGCAGGCGAGCGCGCUACCGCUUGAGCCACAUCCCCAGCCCAAGUGAUGCCAGUUUUCAGAGAAGCCAACUGAGGACAGGGAGCAAAAUGAGGCCUAAACCCUCGACGUCAACCCUGAGGACCCAGCAGCCAACUGCCUCCCACAUCAGGACACACCCAGCAAGCACUGGCCUGCCCUUCCCUGUCCCCCUCCCCCUGCCCUGGGGCUGCUUCUAUCAGAUGAGUUCGGCCCCAUUUCCCAGCCCCACCUGUGGACAGAUGCAAACCAGGUGGCCGCCUCCCUCCCUUCACCUCCAGACAGCAGACCACAGCAGCUUCCUGCUGGCGCCUCACCCCGGAACCACAGAAGAGGUCCAGGUCCCCAGCAUGGCUGCAGAGGUCUGGGGCCAGCCUUGCUGGCUGCCCGCCCCCCAGCCCUUGCCACUCCUUCCACAGGGAGCACAUACCCAGGUUGCUCCCAGGGCUUCCCACGUGCUGUCCCUGCCUUUCCUCUCCAGAUAGCCCUAGCCCUCAGCAGUCCCCAUUGUCCCAAACCCUCGGUUUCCUGUCACCCACACUCCUUGGUGCUUAGGUCUGUCUGGUCCAGCCAGUGGAGGGACCUGGCAGGGACAGAUGGGCUGCAAGGGCACCAUGUCUUCCCAGGAGCACAGGAACCUCCCAAGGUCUCUGGACAUUCACUCUCCUGGGGGGGUAGCGGGCUCCUGCUGACCCCCAUGACCCAUGUUCUCCCUUGAACCCAUGUUCUCCCUUUCUUACUUUACCCCCAAAGACGUCUUUUCCCUGACAAGAGCUCACAUCUUCCCUGAAUGUGUAUCUGCUUUCCAAAACAAAUGAGUAGGUGUUUCUGGGGAAAAGAAAGAAGAGGGGGUGGGAGGCCACGCCCACCCAGACACACAGGCCUUCAGAGGAAGCUCAGGGUGCAGGCUGCCUGCGGUGCUCGGCUCCCUCGGCCUGAGUCCCGUCCUUGUGUGGAUGGAGAGUUGGGGACCUGGGCACAGGGCCUGGUUAAAAGCAGGGAGCCCACAGCCUCCCACCUCCCCAGGUUUCCAGCUCCGAGGGUCUCCACAUUGUGUGCCUGCCACCGAGGUGGGCGGGGCCCACUGCGGGUGCUGGGGCAGGGCUGCUCAGGGGAAGCCCAGCGGCCCUCUGAGCAGGUUGCGGAGGCCUGACGAACCCCGGGGAUUAUCCAGCCUGAGCUAAGGGCACAGAACCUGGAGGCGUCAAUAGCACACUAGGGGCUCUCGCCCUUUGACACACGGUGAUUCCAAGGCCUGAAGGUAGACAAGAGCUGCCAGCUACACACAGAAUGACACAGACACACAGUGUGGCCAUUCACAUGGCACUGUCCAUCACAACCAAGUGGACACAUCAAGACCCGCUGAAGAGCAUGGCAUGAAAACCAGGAGGCACUACUAGCAGCCCACCACAGAACCCCCACCCAGGGCCCCCACCCAGUGCUGACACAAGAAGCCUGUCUACGACAGAGGGGCCACCCUGCGCCUGCCCAUCCAGAUGAGAGAUGGCCCCCUUCUGUUUUUUUUUGGUAUUGCGGAUGGAACCCAGGGGCACUUAACCACAAAGCCACACCCCCAGCCCUUUUUAUAUUUUAUUUAGAGACUGGGUCUCACUAAGUUGCCUAUGGCCUCGCUAAGUCGCUGAGACUGGCUUUGAACUCAUGAUCCUCCUGCCUCAGCCUCCUGAGUCUCGGGGAUGACAGGCAUGCGCCACCACACCUGGCAAAUGGCCCCCUUCUUACAUUCUACUGUCUUCUGUCAAGGUGAGUCCUGGGUGACACUCUUGUUCUCCCCUCCACCACUUCCUCCCCCAAACUAUGGGGAGGACAGAGAUCAGCACAGGUUGAUGGGAAGGAGCAGCUGUCCCCACCCGUCCUUCUUGUCAGUGCCAUCUGGGUCAUGUCAAGAGUGGUGGAGGCCUGGUUUCCCUGGGGAGCAGUCUCCCAGCCCAAACUCGCCAAGCGCUGCUCCCAGUGAGGCACUUCCUGGUUCAGGGACUGGCCAGAGGCUUGGGGCCAUUCGGCCUUGGUGCUGCCCCCCGCAGUGGCUUGGACAUUUCCUGACACGUGGCCCCUCAGAGUCCAGACAGCAUCCACAGCUGAAGGCAGCAGAGGUGGACAGGGAGGGUCAGUCCUCCCAUGGAGGUAGCUGCCCCUGCCACACAGCCAUGCAUGUGCCGUAAGUGCCCCCAGGCCUAAGUCCUUCUAGGCCAAGGGUGGCCCCCACAGACAUAGUGGCCGACGCAGGUGGGCAGAAUGACCUGGGUGGUCAGCACCCGACAGGGCAGCUUUCCUGUGCCACAGGUGUAAGGCCCAGGUGCUUCAGGGACUCGAGGCCUGGCCAGACGCUGUCCCACCACUCCUCCCCGCCCUCAGCAGUAGCUGAAGGUUCCUGUCACCCUUCCACAAGGCCCACGCAGGGCUCCCGCCCACUGGGAAGUGAGAAUGCUGGGUGGCAGCGUGCACUCCGGAUGCUGCGCCCACCCAGUCCCCACCCCACGACAGUGCUGCCGGCUCGAAGGUGGCCCUUGCCAAACCGCUCGAUCGGUGCACGGCCUCCGCCCUCCCUGCCACCUCCCCCACCGCUUCCAGGGAUGGCCGGGCCCUCACCCUGGACGUGCAGAUCACCUCCCGCAGGUUGAUGUUCAUCCAGUUGUCACAGCUCACCAGGUGCCCAUUGUACGUCUCCCCAUUCUUGAGCUCCACCAACUAGAAGGGAAAUGGACGAUGGUCAUUGGCCCCAGUCCCACUGGCAACCACCGCCAGGGCCUUGUUGGGACCCCCGCAGGGCAGGGCUGCAGCACCAGACCCCAGAGUGGUCCUUCCUGAGGACAAGCUCGGCUUGCUCUGCACACCGUGGAGAUGACGUCAGACCUUCUAUGAGGACAGUGACUUUUUUUUUUAAUAUUUAUUUUUUAGUUUUCAGUGGACACAACAUAUUUAUUUUUUAUUUUUAUGUGGUGCUGAGGAUCGAACCCAGCGCCCCGAGCAUGCCAGGCGAGCGCGAUUCCGCUUGAGCCACAUCUCCAGCCCCAGGGGACAGUGACUUUUAUUUGAUUAAAACUUACUUUUUCUUUCUAGAUGGCCUUUUUUUUCGGGGGUGGGGUACAGACAAUUGAACUUGGGCAUUCGACCCCUGAGUCCCAUCCUGAGCCCUAUUUUGUAUUUUAUUUAGAGACAGGGUCUCACUGAGCUGCUCAGCACCUCGCUUUUACUGAGGCUGGCUUUGAACUCGCCAUCCUCCUGCCUCAGCCUCCUGAGCUGCUGGGAUAACAGGUGUGUGCCACACCCCCGGCUCCAGAUGGCCUUUUUAAAAAAAAAGCCUUUAUUUGUUCUUUUUAGAUAUACACGACAGUGGAAUGUGUUCUGACGUAUCAGGCAAACUUGAAGUCUAACCUCCCCUUCUUGUGGUUGUCCACAAUGUGGAGUGACACUGGUUGUAUAUUCAUAUAUUCAUUAAAAAAAAAUCUUUUAAGCCCAGUGCAGCAGCGAAUGCCUGCAAUCAAACUGCAAUCCCAGCAAUUUGAGAGGCUGAUGCAGGAGGGUGGCACAUUCAAGGCCAGCCUCAGCAACUUAAUGAGACCCUGUCUUGAAAUUAAAAAUAAAAAAGGCUGGGGAUAGAAUUCAGUGGCAUGCACUUGCCUACCACCCCCCCAUUUGUGGUCCUGGGGUUCAAAUCCAGGAGUUAGGAGCACAGGUUAGGGUCAGGAGCACAGGUCAGUGGCAGGGCACAUGCUUAUCAGGCCUGAGGCCCUGGGCUCAAGUCCCAGCACCACAAAUAAAUCAAAUUAAAUAAAUAAAACUUCAUAUUGGGGGGCUAGGAUUAUGGCUCAGCGGUAGAGCGCUCGCCUAGCACGGUCAGGACCCGGGUUCGAUCCUCAGCACCUCAUAAAAAUAAAGGCAUUGUGUUGUGUCCAUCUACACCUAAAAAAUAAAUAUUAAAAAAAAACUUCAUAUUGAAUAAAUAUUUAAUAAAAAUAUUUUAAAACUUAAAAAAUAGAGAUUAAAGCCAAGAUGCACUUAACCACUGGUUUUUAAAAUUUUUAUUUCUUUCUUGGGUACCAGGGAUUGAACUCAGGGCACUCAACCACUGAGCCACAUCCCCAGCCCUAUUUUGUAUUUUAUUUAGAGACGGUCUCACUGAGUUGCUUAGCACCUUGCUUUUGCUGAGGCUGGCUUUGAACUCACAAUCCUCCUGCCUCAGCCUCCAGAGCUGCUGGGAUUAUAGGUGUGCGUCACCACGCCUGACUAUGUGGACUUUGGUGGCCUGGAAAUGCUGUUCCUCACAGCAACAAUAAUUGCCUUUUUUGAUGUGGUUUGAGGACAAAGGCAGACACCAGGGUACGUGCCGAGGCCAGGCCUGAGGGAGCUCCAGCAGCAAAGGAACACACAGUGGAGCCGGCUCCGCUGUGUGGCGUGUUGGUUACACUUGAAGAAAAAAAUGUAAAAGAGAAACAGCUCACUGAUGUGGACAGCGGCCACGUGUGUUAUUGAAGACAGAAGUAGUUUCGGGAGCAAAGUCCAUCCCCUGAUUCCCUUAUGUCUGCGGGGGCUGAACCCAGUGGUGCUCCACUACUGAGCUGCUAAGGAUCUCGCUAAGUUGCCCAGGCUGACCUUUAACCAAAUUCUCUUGCCCUGGCUGCUCAAGGGACGGGGAUCACAAGCUGCCACUGCGCAUGGCAGCACGUGCCACCUUCCUAAGGAGCAGAAACAUCUUGGGUGUGAACAUAGUUGGGAGGGAAGAGAGAACGAGCCUUGGUGUUCAGACAAGCAGGAAAUCCCCCAUCCAGAGGGGCCUGUCUCCACCCUCAACAUGUCCCCUCUGAACAGGCCACCUUAGCCCAGCACCUACUCACCAUGGGGUGGUUCUGAGCUGUCUUCAGCAGCGAUAAGGGAAGCUGCAAGGCAAACAAAGUCACGUGACUUGUCUGACCAGCACCCCCAAUGCCCCUUGGGAGUGCAGGAGCGAACCUGGACCACCCCAAACGACAGCGCCUCUCCUCCCUCAGCCCACCCCACCACACACACCCACCUCUUGGACCAGGAGUCUCAUGCCCUCCCCUCACAGAGGCAGCUGCCACCUGGCCUUGGUGCUGACCGUUCUGGUCAUUUCUUCACAACUCUUGCUACAUUUACCCACACCCAGUACAGAGCAGGGCCCUGCCUUCGGGUUUACAGACAGCAUCACAACACGGGUCCCUGUGUCGCCUGCAUUUUCUACUCGACCACACGGUGUCCGAGAUGCCUCUGCGCCUGUGACUGGCCUCUGCAUCAGGGGUACCCAACCAAAUGCAGAUGGAAAAUAUUUGAAGAAAAUAAAAUUGUGUCUGUACUGGAGA